AUGUAUGAGGUCAACUGCAUGAUGCUCUACGUUCUUAGACUAAUAUCACGAGAAGAGAACUUGGUCACCUUUCUGUCCGACUUGAACAUUUCAGAGACACCUGCAGCGAGGCCUGUCUUUCUUUCUAUCCGACGCUGUGGCUCAGACGGUUUAAAUGGCACUGAAAGGUUAGAUCUGUCGCAUGUUCGUUCCAUAACCAUGAUUCGCUGUGACAAGGUGUUUUCGUUUAAGCAUUUGGGGUAUCUGCGAGUGUUGAAUGUGGAGGACUGUGAUGGUUUGGACGAUACCGAUGUACAACACAUAUGCAGACUGAUCCUGCUGAAGCACCUGAGUCUGAAAGAGACACCACAAGUCACUAGGCUUCCUCCACAAAUCGGGAACCUACGACAUCUUGAGACUCUAGAGAUCGAGCUGAUCCAAAUCAGUGUUCUCCCGCCACAGAUCGGGAAGCUGCAAAAUCUGGAGACACUGGAUGUAAGGCUGACACGAGUGAAAGAGCUGCCCAAGGAGCUCGUCCAGCUUCCCAAACUAGCAAAUCUGCAUUUUGGCCAUACUGGGGUGAGGCUACCUGCCGGAAGUGAUCGCUUCAAGUCAGUUAAGGUGCUGGGCACCAUUGAUUCGAGGGAAUGCUCGGUAAGCACCCUGGAGGAGAUUACUGGGAUGACUGGAUUGACUAAGGCUGAAGUCAUGUUGUACGGUGAGCCCGCCGACACGCCAGAAAAUGACAAUCUACUGUCUUGCAUGGGCAAGUGCACUAGUCUGCGGUCCCUAAUAGUUCACGGUGAUUUCAUUACGAGCGACGACCUUCCUGCGUCUCCCAACUUUCCUCUACUUGAAAAGCUAACGGUGACCGCAAGAUUUGUUAAAAUUCCCCGGUGGAUCGCACAGCUCAGCCGUCUUAAGAAGCUAGAAAUCAGGCUCUUUGAACAAGGACUAAACGAUCUCAAGAUACUUGGAGGUCUGCCCAGUCUCACUAGCCUUGCAAUCCAGCUGUUUGGUGACCCACGGAAACAAGUCACUGUAACUUCAGGUUUCGCCAGACUCGAGUUUUUCGCCUUCGACUGCUAUGCGCCAUGGGUAAAGUUUGAGCAGGGAGCCAUGCCAAGCCUGAGACACAUCGAGCUGACACAUUAUUCUGGCCCAGCAGGUAAAACCCCUGCAGGUAUCAUAUACCUUGAGAGCCUCCAGAAGGUCACCCUCAUCUACUCUUCACACUGUUCAAGUUGUGCUGGUGUCAUCGAGACAGUUGCUGUCAUGAGGAAGGAAGCUGCCAGCCAUGCUAAUCGGAUUGUGCUUUCUGUUAAUGGCGACGAUGAGAUUUUCCCAUCCAUCUCAAGUGUUGACGGAAAGAUUACCACAACCGAAAACGAAGAGUGUUAG
rnacentral:rRNA from 1 species